AUCUCUUUGGACUCCUCCUUCGAGUCGUAAUUUCUUUCCCUGCACUAAGCCUAGUCUUAAUUACUCAUCUCCUGGAAAGACAAGAGGUUUCCUUCUGGUUCAUACAAAUGGAGGGCUUAAUCAAAUGCGCGCUGGGAUAUGUGACAUGGUUGCAAUAGCACGUAUAAUUAAUGCAACCCUCGUGAUUCCUGAUCUUGACAAGCAUUCAUUUUGGAA